rnacentral:misc_RNA from 1 species
GAUGAAGAACGUAGCGAAACGCGAUAGUUAAUGUGAAUUGCAGAAUUCAGUGAAUCAUCGAGUCUUUGAACGCACAUUGCGCCCACUGGUAUUCCGGUGGGCAUGCCUGUUCGAGCGUCAUUAUCCUCCCUCAAACCCCGGGUUUGGUGUUGGACCCAAGUUGUGUGAACAACUGGUCUCAAAGACAAUGACGGCGUCCGUGGGACCCUCGGUGCAACGAGCUUUUAGGAGCACGCAUCGAGUUGCAAGGACCUUCCGGGCCGGUCUCCUUUACCAUUUUACAAGGUUGACCUCGGAUCAGGUAGGAAUACCCGCUGAACUUAAGCAUAUCAAAAGCGGAGGA